rnacentral:rRNA from 1 species
UGGGGAAUUUUCCGCAAUGGGCGAAAGCCUGACGGAGCAAUGCCGCGUGGAGGUAGAAGGCCCACGGGUCGUAAACUCCUUUUCUCAGAGAAGAAGCAAUGACGGUAUCUGAGGAAUAAGCAUCGGCUAACUCUGUG